AGCGGCUUUAUAGUAACUUCAUAUUUCACAAAAAUAGAAUAUGUAAAUAUCAUUAAAUUUGUAUGAAUUGCACGUUUACAAAAAUAGCUUCACAUUUUAUUUUAUGGAGCAUAUUGUGAUAUCGUUCACAGUAUAAUUACAUCCCCAUCCAUUCAGUGUUUGCAGUCUGCAGGUGAGACGAGUCUUUAGAAUCUUUAUGACGUUUUUGGUGAGAUCGUUCUACAACAGUUUGGCAUUGUGACUUAAAGGCAUGUGACAAAAAAGGCUUAGCUUGUAACUUGAUAAAUCUGCACUUGCUUUUUUUUAAUGGUUUCCAGAAAACAUGAUACCGAAAGCAUUAAAGGACCACUAUAGUGCCAGGAAAACAUACUCGCCAGGCUCUGGGGAGAGGAAAGGGUUAAAUCUUACCUUUUUUUCCAGCGCCAGGCGGGGAGCUCUCUUCCUCCUCUCUGCCUCCGAGCCUCCUUUUCGGCUGAAUGCGCAUGCGCGGCAGGAGAUGCGCGCGCAUUCAGCCUGUCUCAUAAGAAAGCAUUCAUAAUGCUUUCCUAUGGACGCUUGCGUCUUCUCACUGUGAUUUUCACAGUGAGAAGCACGCAAACCCCUCUAGCGGCUGUCAAUGAGACAGCCACUAGAGGCUUUAGAGGCUGGAUUAACCCAUUUAUAAACAUAGCAGUUUCUCUGAAACAGCUAUGUUUAUAAAAAAAAAAAA